AGAGUUUGAUCAUGGCUCAGGACGAACGCUGGCGGCGUGCUUAACACAUGCAAGUCGAGCGAUGAGAUCACUUCGGUGAAGGAUUAGCGGCGAACGGGUGAGGAACACGUGAAGAAUCUGCCUUCAACUCUGGGAUAACUCCGGGAAACCGGGGCUAAUACCGGAUAUGAGCCUUGAUCGCAUGAUCGGGGCUGGAAAGUUUUUCGGUUGAAGAUGACUUCGCGGCCUAUCAGCUUGUUGGUGAGGUAAUGGCUCACCAAGGCGACGACGGGUAGCCGGCCUGAGAGGGCGACCGGCCACACUGGGACUGAGACACGGCCCAGACUCCUACGGGAGGCAGCAGUGGGGAAUAUUGGGCAAUGGAGGAAACUCUGACCCAGCGACGCCGCGUGCGGGAUGAAGGCCUUCGGGUUGUAAACCGCUUUCAGCAGGGAAUAAGCGCAGGUGAAGGUACCUGCAGAAGAAGCACCGGCUAACUAUGUGCCAGCAGCCGCGGUAAUACAUAGGGUGCAAGCGUUGUCCGGAAUUAUUGGGCGUAAAAGAGCUCGUAGGUGGUUUGUUACGUCGGUUGUGAAAUUCAGGGGCUCAACCCCUGACUUGCAGCCGAUACGGGCAAGCUAGAGUUUGGUAGGGGGA
rnacentral:rRNA from 1 species